rnacentral:rRNA from 1 species
AUGGAAGAAUGGCCAGCGGUGGCCUGCGUUUACUCGUCGAAGACCGGGGCGUGGGGCAAUCUCAUCCUAACACCGAUUCCAUCCGGGACCUUGCUUUCUAUUGAUGUGUUGGGUGUGCUGGUUGGGCAUUCCCUUUACUGGAUGCUUUAUGGUACUUCGUCAAAUAUCCUCCAGUUUGAUUUGAAGAGGGAGAGCCUGGCCCUGAUACCGGCGCCAGUGGCAGUGAGUAUGUUUGAUUUUGAAGGCAUCACACUCAUGCGGGCAGAGGAUGGUGAGCUGAGUUUACUCUCCUUGUCAGGCUUCAUCGCCCAAUUAUGGAAGAGGAACAUCAGCUGUAACGGUGUUCCAUCAUGGGGGAUAGUAAGAACUGUUGAAUUGGACAAGCUACUUUCCCUGGAUUCAGAGGAGUACGUAACCACACAUGGCUUUGCUGAGGAUAAUAAUUUGGUGAUCCUGCGGGUCAAUAUCAGCAGCAUCUUCACUGUCCAGAUUGAGUCACUACAGUUCAGGAAAGUUUCCGACAACACCAAAUGGUACUAUUAUCCAUUUGAAAGUGUCUAUGCUGCAGGUAUCUAG